rnacentral:rRNA from 1 species
GGGGAUCUGCCCGAUAGAGGGGGAUAACUACUGGAAACGGUAGCUAAUACCGCAUAAUCUCUCAGGAGCAAAGCAGGGGAACUUCGGUCCUUGCGCUAUCGGAUGAACCCAUAUGGGAUUAGCUAGUUGGUGAGGUAAUGGCUCACCAAGGCGACGAUCCCUAGCUGGUCUGAGAGGAUGAUCAGCCACACUGGGACUGAGACACGGCCCAGACUCCUACGG